GGACUACACGGGUUUCUAAUCCUGUUUGCUCCCCUAGCUUUCGUUCCUCAGCGUCAGUUGCGAUCCAGCCAGCCGCCUUCGCCACGGGUGUUCCUGCAGAUAUCUACGCAUUUCACCGCUACACCUGCAAUUCCACUGGCCUCUCUCGCACUCGAGCACGGCAGUUUUGAAAGCAGCCUCUGGGUUAAGCCCAGAGAUUUCACUCCCAACUUGCCGCACCGCCUACGAACCCUUUACGCCCAGUAAUUCCGAGCAACGCUGGCCCCCUACGUCUUACCGCGGCGGCUGGCAC
rnacentral:rRNA from 1 species